UCGCGGACGUCUGCUCGUCAAUCUACCGGCGGCCGCACUGAUGCCUCUUCCUGACUGGCAGCCGCGUAGAUGCCUCCUCCUACUUGUGUCUGUGCAUGCGCAUCCUCCCCAACCGACGAUGGUUCCAUGUUUUGGAGUUGGCAUCGCAUAGGGGCAAGGUGUGCAUUCACCUACAUCGGCAGGCGGCGGCCCUUGGUCGGAGUUCUCCAGCUUUGUGUGCGGGUGGUGCAGGUCGAAGCUCCGUGAUGCAGAUCUAGAUGCAGCUUCUUUCACUAGGCAUGGGAGGUGACUGAUGGGCUGUUGGUCAGUACAGGUAGCAAAUCGCAUCUCGGUGAGCCACGUCUGCAUCGCUGAUGUCGUUCGACAUUAUGCGUCCAUACGACAACUAUGAAGCAUUCAGAAUUCAGUGGAUCGGUGACCAAUUUGAGAGAUAAAUGUUAGUACAUACUCCUAUAAUAAUGUAUGAACUGAUACUCUAGGAAAGGUAUCUACAUAUACUUGUUUAUCAAAAAGUAUGUACCUAUACUUAGGAAAGGUAUCUGUAUAUACUUGUUUUUCAAAAACUAUGUAGCUGUACUUAGCGUA